GUGGUGCUUGGCCUCAAGCGCCGGGCAAGCCCUGGCCACCAGCCAGCAUGCCAAUGGUGUCCAGCGCGCCGCUCUCCCUAGCCUAUGGCCGCACCAGCAGGUCUCUUUAAAGGAUAAGCGCAACGCCCUAUGUCUUCUUGUACGCGAAGCUAGCACACACACGCGUUCUUCUACCUCUCGCUCGUCCAACGCUUCCCUCUCCCUGUCUCCUUCUCCCUCACGGCAGUAGCAGCCAGCAUAGUUCUUCCUCCUCCAUGCUUCUUCCCUUCUUCCAUGGAUGGUGCCUAGCAGGAGCUCCAUGGCCAGCGCCCCUCCCCUGCUCGGCCCCUUCCUCACUGCUCCCUUCCUCUCCCCUCAUGGAGAGUUUUCCCCCUGCAGUCUUCCCCAAUGUGCAGCAAGUUUGGGAGCCGACGCCCCUCCUCCUACUGGCGCAGGUAAUUCCCAUGGCUGCUCCUCCCCAUGGCUGGCAGCAGCUUCCAGCAGCUCGCCCCUAACCAUAUCCCCAGUGAGCUCCUCCCUUGCAUUGCCGUAGGACGUCGCUGCUACUCCCUCGCUCCCUCAUCGUGCAGCGCAGCACACUGCCCUUAUGUUGAUUUCCCUGCCACGCUUGCAGGGUGUUCGGUAAAAGGCGCAGCAGGAGCAACAACCCCUUCUACCGCUAUGGCCAAGCCCGGACACCGUCGUUCCCUCUAGGCGCGCGCUCGAUUCCUAUCGCUGCGCACUUGACGACAAGCUCCCUUCCUUGUCGAGCCUCGCUGUGCAACGCCAUGUAGCAGCAACGGCGCACUCUUCCACCUCAUGCUUGCCUUCAACCUCCGCAACACCUUCUCGACAUCAGCCACCGCGCACCCCUGCUGCCCCCCCUUGGCUGCACGAGAGUGCUCUCCCACGUCGAGCCCCCCUCAAUCUGGUUCCUGGCUACAGUAGCAGUCCCGACAUCGCCGCGCAGCGAGCUCCACCGCAGAUCUGCGCAGCCCCGACCCACGCCGUCCCGUUGGUGCUUGGAUAGCCCCAUGCUGCGUCGUCGAUCUGCGCAGUUCUACCGUCUCCGCAUCUCGCUUCGCCAGGUCUACGCAGUCCCUACGUGCCGUCGUCAAAACCCGUGCCCUUGUCGUCGUCACGCCUCGCGCAUCGCUCCUCGGCAAAGAGCCUAAACUGAUGGGAUGCAUGCGUAACUCCAAUCGGAUUUCGGCCAGGAUCGAGAGAUGAUGAUCGUGCAAGUGAUGUGGUGCCAACCACAAGAUACAGAUGGUGGAUGACCCAAAGAAUGAUGGACUUAACCAGUGGAUGCUCGCUAAGUACCUCCUUGAUUUGGUUGAUGGUGUGACUUGGCCUUCAUCCCUGCCACCGGGAUAGAUGGUCAAGUGGGUUACUGCUUUCGCAGGAGAGGACCAGGAGGAGUAGCGUGGCCAGGCUUCACCAUGUUACUCAGUUUUCUCCAUUAGUUAUUUCCGCUGCAUUAAAAAUUAUGGUUACUAUUUUUGAAACUCCGAUAAUGUAAUCACUACUAAUACUUCUUAAAUUUGUGGUAUUAUGCUU